UUUCUCCCUCCACCAUUCACAUGGUCUAGGUCUUGGCCUCACUCUAGACUCAGGCUUUUUUUCUUUGAUUCCAUUUUCUCUUCUUGUUUUCAAAUCAUUUUUUAUCCACAUCCCUUGACUAUAAUGCUUUCAACUUUACGUAUGGACCUAAAUCUGGUCCCAAUGCCCCUGACCCUAAAUCUAUAUGACCACGAUUUUCAGUGUCUGUCCAGGCUGACUGUAUGUUAAUGUGGCCGGUGUUAGGUAAGGGGGUACUAGCUGUCUAUAGGUCUGGAUGUGAAAGGGGCCUUGGAAAGGAGCACAUGACAAUUCUCAUCUGCUGCUGCUUUUCAGUUAUUUUUCCUUUAUUGGUGAAGUUUAUUUCAGACUCCUAAGUCAAAUGCUUCCAACUAAAUCUUUGAAUGCAUUAUUCUUUUUACAGACAGAUUAUUUUGCAUUGUAUUUAUUAUAAAGAGCCUCAGCAAGCUGCUAGUUAAGAACAUCUAGAGCUUCCCAAGUCAGCGUCACUAUUUCCCAGAUUGUGUCCAUAAGUGCCUAGUAACAGGAAUCCUCUGGUGUCCUUACUUAAAAUGUCCAUUCCCAGGACAAUUAUAAUGAGGGGCAGAAAUCUGUAUUUUUAAUGAACACCCCUAGUGAUUCUUGAGCUCACAAUAGUCUGAGAAGCACUGCCUAAGAUCAUUGCCCAAUCACCCACCAGGGGAUAAUUGAAAAUUUAGCAGUUAUUUGAAGGGUGUUUGUUGUGAAUGGGGGAGAAGACUACUGCUCAUCCCCAGUGCCGUGAUUUGCUCAACCUUGAAGAAUAGGCUGAGAAUUGGUAGGUCAGAGAGGUACUGAAGUAGCCUGAAACUCUUAACAUCUUUUAGGGAAAUAAAGACGUUGCAAAUUAUGUGCUCUUAGAAUCUUAAAGAACAACGUACAAUAGAAUCAAUAAUAAGAAAGUGAGCUAUUUAGGUAAUUGUUAUAAUCAAUUUCUUACUCAUUUUGUGAAUGGUGGCAAAUAAUUUUUCUGAAUGUCUGUAUAUCAAGAUUUCCUUGAUUUCAUAGAGAUUAGGGAGGUUAGGAGAUGAUUGAUUUAUAUUGACUUUGUAAUUUAUUCAUCAGGGCAAUCAAAACACAUCUUUUUGCUAACUAUUCUUUCAGAUAUAGCACAUUUACCCAUUGAUCUCUCUUUUCAUAUAGUAACAUUGCAGAUAGAUUUUUAAAAAGUCAAACUUCAAAACAACAAAUUUACUGUCAUUUUUGUUCCAUUUUUCUGGGCCAUCUUGUUUCAUUUCCCCAUUAUUUCCUGUUUUUCUUUUUACACCAGGUUAACACAGUAUGGGUUUGAUUUCUCUGAAGCCCUGGAAGCAUGCUAAACACUAACUCUCAAAGCUAAUAGGAUGGCAUGUGCUAACAAAUGAAGUAUUGUUUCUGAAUAUAUGUUUGCAAGGAAGUUUAAAUUCAGCUUGCUAAAGAACUGAAUUUAAGAAGUUUAAGAAGAAAGAACUGAGGAGUCUCCCUGGGUAUAUGAUAACCAUUCUCUUUCAGUUUAACUUGACAAGUGAGACUACCCAAUCCCAGAACUACUAUGCCCAAAUGAGGUAUUAUCAGCAGGAAUAUUAAUAAGGCAGUAAAGGUGAAAUAUAAAACUAUGGGAGGAUAUCUAUCAAUCAAUCUAUCCAAUAUCAAAAUUUAUAGAAAUUUACAUUUUUGUGGUUUUAAUGGUUUUAUUUUAGAAUACAAUUCAUUUGAAUGUUGACAUGAAUCCUUUUAUUCUUUAAAUGAAGAAUUAGAUUUUAUAAAAUAUAUUUAAAAUGGAAUUAGGCUCUGCUUUUUUUUUUUUUUUUCAGUCAGUUUUAAAACAUAAGCCUAAUUGCUUACACUCUGGUGUAUAGAAAGGUAAGAAAUACUAGAUGGUAAUUUUAUACAGGGCUAAAUGUUGCCCUGCUUUUUUAGCAGUCUCAUUUGCUUCUUUCUUUUCCUUCCUCUUCUUCCUCCUUCCUUUCCAUUCUCUCAUGUCAUUUUCUCUCCACCCCCCUUUUCUGGUCUCUCUUACUCUGCUUUUUCUUCUUGUUGUAAACAGUAAUAAUAAAAGGAUAAUUUUCAGCAUAAUUCAGUUGAGUUCCAUUUGAAACACAUUUACUGACUACUUCUUAGGCAAGAAACCCUAUGAUAGAGCUGCUCCGACAGACCAUGAUGAAAGAGGCCAUGUUAACCUCAAGGAAUUCAUGGUCCAUGGGGAGAAGCCAGUCUGCUGAUACAACUAACUGAAACAAUGAGGCAGAGUAGCAAUUGUUAUGACAGAGGAGUAAACAACAAGAACGAGUUGUGAAUUCUUUGCACAGAGGACAGGGGUAACAUUUGAGGUGGUCUUUGAAAGUAGAGAUGAGUCCUCUAAAUAAAUGCAGAGAAAUCUUUUUCUCUUUAUCCUUCUCUAAGUAGAAGACAGCAGAUCCUCUAACUUCUUCAGCAUGAAUAGUGAACAGAAUAGCAUUUUCUUGCUUUUUCUAUUUUUUUUAAACCGAGAUUUAGGCUGUUAUUGUUUUCAGAGCAAAUAUACAAUGUUUGCAUAUGUCUUUAUCACAAAAUAUAUAUUCAAAGUUCAUUCUUUCUUCCCUUUUUCUUUCUUUCUCUUUUUUUUUUUUUUCCCCAGAGAAGGGUUCAUGUAUGAAAUAACAGGGAAAAGAAGAAACAGCAUUAGACUUGGACUAGACUUGGAGUUCACAAACUUCAUGUGUGUCUAAGUUUUGAUUCAAACUACCUGGUUGUAUUACUAUGAGAAAAAUCAGCCUCUCUAGACUGAGUUUGAGUUCCCAACUGCAAAAAAAAUGAAAGGAUCAGAUUAGUUGACCUAAGGAUCAUUUUGUGCAUGAAGCAACUUUGUUUUCACUUUCUUGGUAAUACCAAAACAAUGUACAAUGUUUUUAAUUACUAAACAACAAAUUUACAAGUGACUUUUUUUUUUAAUUGCGGCCUUCUGUGGGUUGGGAAUUUCUUACAUUCUGCACCACAUAAACCCAGCAUGGAGAGUUCUUUCUACCUUGAAUUUAUAGCAGCAGCUAGUGAUGUAGGGAGGAGGUCAGAGAAGUUUCCAGGGACUGAAUGCAAGCCAGCCAUCACUGGGGACAGCAUGUGCACAGAGAAGAAUAUGAAAGUCCAAGAAGAUGAAUCCAGAGCCCAUGUCAGCAUUUUGUAAUUACUAAACCAGAAAAGUGGAAAGGUAAAUCCAGUCCCUGUCACUUCAUCAUCUUUGCCAGAAGCAGAAGUCUGCCCACAUUCUUACAUAUAUUUGUGUCGUUUCUGUAUUGUGAACAGCUGCCACCUGUUUUGCUCCUAGGAACACUAGUGUGUAAAUUAGGAAUAUGUUUCCUUUCAAAACAAACAAACAAACAAACAAACAAACAAAACAGAAACCUGGAAAACACUCUUGACAGUGGCUUAAAUAUACAAUGUUUUGUUGUUCUUAUAUAAAAAUCCAUCUGAAGAAAGGAAGCCAGAGAUAAAACAGCGGUUUAGCAGUGUUGUUCUGGAUCGAGGCUCUUUCUUUUACUGCUUUACUAUCUUUAGCAUGUGUUUUUGACCUCUUAGUUGCAAGAUGGCCUUGCUAUACUUCUGCACCUCAUGUUGGCAUUCCAGAAAUGAAGAAGGUAGAAAAGUACAAACCUUUCUCCAUUUAAGACUUUAUAUUUUAAAUUUGGGAAGAGAAGACAUUCACAGUGAAUUCCAUUCACAUUUUCUUGGUAACAAUUUGGUCACAUGGCCAUUUUUCACUGCAACAGAGCCUGGGAAAUCAAGUAUUUUAGCUUCUAUGCCUCUCAAUAGAGGAACACAGGGAAGAAAGGAGUUAUGAGGAUCUUUUAGAUAGACAGUGCAGAGUGUCUGCCAGAACAAAAAUCCUAUUAUGUUCCAAACAUUUAAGGGUACAUGGUAAACCUAAAUAUGACCAGAGGUCUGUGAGGGAGCCAGAUAUAGGCAUUUAUUUCCUUUGUUAGAUAACAUUUUCCAUCUGUGUUUGUCAGUUGGUUUUAUGUAAAUCAUGAAUAGCGUAUAAAAAUAGAGUCAAAAUGGUAAAAUUAAGGUAUAAAAGAUAAGUUCAAAUGGAGAUGAUACCUCAUAUCAUUGUCCUAAUCUGUGAGGUUUACUCCAUUAAUAUUUGUUCAUUAUUUAAUUUAUUUUAGAAGUUCUCAAAAUCAUUAAUUUCAACCUUCAGUUAUUUAUGCUUUUGUGCCUCUUGAGCACACACAAAGGCAGAGAUAAACCUGUGCGUACAUGUGUGCACAUGUGCACGCACACACUCAUGAAUUUUAAUGCUGUUAAGAUGAUGAAACUUAUGGUAAUACAUUUUCUUUCUUUAAAAAAUUCCAGUGUAAUGAUAUACAAGAAGAACUGCAAUUAGACUAGAUAAUUAAACAGAUGUUUUGGCAUGAACCCAAGAUCUCAAGGGAUAGACUCUGAGCAUAAUUAACAAUCUUUAAUGUGUUCUUUAAAGGGCUGGGCGUGGUUAGUUUCAAGGCUUUUGUUUUUCUGUUUGAGAGUUGAAUUGCUUGAGAAAAUACAGGAGUUAGAAAAUGUAGGAAAACAGGAAAAAUUGGCUGGUGGUGGUUGAAGAAGGACUUUGCAGAGAGAAAAUAAAAGUCUAAAUAAGAUUUGUUUUUAUUUAAAAAAUAUGGAAAAUAUCAGAUAUUUGUAAAAAUAGAGAUGAUUGUAUAAUUAAUACUCCUAUGUGUUUUCAUCACCUGAUUAAAUAAUUAUCAAGUCAGAAUUACCUCUUUCUUCUAUAUCCUCUUCUGUUUCCCCAUUUGUAGAUUGUUUAGAAGCAAAUCCCAGUGUAUGAUUUCAUUCACAAAUAUUUUAGAAUGUUUUUCUGAAAACUAAGGGUUCAAGAGUCUUUGAAGAAAAAGUUAGCACAAUACCACUAUUAUACUUAAAAAUUAACAAUAAUUUCCUGAUAUUGUCAAAUAUUCAGAGUUCAAUUUCCUCUUUUUUUUGAGGAGUUUUGAGUUUUUUUGAGUUCAUCUGUUUUAGUAUGAACCAAUUAUGAUAUAUCCAUUGCAAUUAGUUGAUAUGCUUCUUAAGUU